AUCAGACGGUAAUUUUAGAGUUUACAAAGAAAUUUAAUAUUAAGACAAAAAUUAAUGUAGAGCUUCAUUGGUGAAAUUAACACUACAAUACAAAUAAAGGAUUCUCAAAUGAUCAUGACUUUUGCUUGUAGUAAAAUGAUCAAUCAAUCAAUCAAUCAAUCAAUCAAACAAUUGAUCAAUCAAUAAAAUUGAGAAUGGAAAUAAAAAACGUGUCAAAGAAACAACAACC
rnacentral:lncRNA from 1 species